ACCUCUGUGGAUCAGUGCAGAUCGCCUCGAGAUUGUUACAAAAAAAGUAGAGUUCGCGAGGAGAUGUGGGUUCGAGUCCCGCCGGAGGCA